UCCCCCACGUUUUUCCCCACUUUUCCAUUGCCUAAUUCAUUUGUUUUGUUUUUCUGCCAGCAAAAUCAAAAGUCAAAAUUUGUUUCUUGUUUUUCUUCAUAACUUUAAUAUUUGUUUAUCAUUUUAUUAUUUUUGUUUCAAGUCUGUUACCAUUUAUUUUCCUUUCCCAAUUCCACGUUUCUUUAAUUUUGUUUUACCUUUCUUGCUGAGUUCUUUCGCACAACUAUAUCCUCUUUCUCUUUUCUUCUUACUAUAAAUUCUUUUUGGAACCUUAAUUCUUGUUCUGUUGACUGCAAAUCGUGGGGAGAAGAACAAGAAGCAAUCGGCAGUCCUCCAGCGACUUAGAUGCUAGUUUGUUGCUGAUUUCUUUUGGGGUAAGUGUUCGAAUGCGUUUUUGGGGGUUCAUUAAGUAUGUUGUGGUUGAGUUUUUGUUAAGUUUUGUAAACUGUUACUAAUUUGGUUGUGAUAGUUAUCAAUUUAGGUGUUAGAUAUCUUAUGGUUGCUUUCGUAUCGAAAUCGUAUCAGGUGUGUAGUAAGAAGCCCGAAAAAUAGCAAACGACGAAAGUCGUAAAUCGGCACUAUCGACGCCACACGGUUGUGUGUGAUAGGCUGUGUGCGAACUGUUGAACCACAUGGUCUGGGUCAAUUGGCCCUGUGGGCCACACGUGUGUGUGGGUCUAAAAUUUUGAAUUUUUCUCUAGGGUCGUAAACGGUUCUUGGAUCAAACGUAGGCUUUUUAUAGGGUUAGUAUGUUAUUAAUUAAGUUAUAACACGGGAAUUCUAGCCAUCUGUUAGUGUAAAAUUAAAUAUUUGUUCGUAUGUUUGAAAUGAAGUGUUACGAGUAAAAUAUGUAAUAUGCAAUGUUUAAUCUGAAGAAAACAUUAUGUAUGUUAUGUACUUGUCAUGAUAAGCAUGUACAUAGUAAAUAAAUCUAAUAUCUGUUAGCUUUGCAUUUGCAUUGGGGAUGAGAAUUGUGUCCUGGAGGAAGUGUGGAGAGUUUAAUUAUUUGCUAUAAUUGGUGGCACAACCACAUCUAUUUCUGUACAUGGCGAUAAUUCGCUUAUUGGUUUGGCAGUUAAGCUGCAAAUAUUUUGAAAGUGUCAUACUGACACUAAGUGGUGUGUAGGGCUGGAUGGGUGUUUCAUACCCCAUAUGGUGUGUUGGGAUAGUUGAAGUUGGUGUGUAGCGGAUGGAGGUUACAAAUUGAGUUUGAAUAGUGUCAUACCGACACUAAGUGGUGUGUAGGGCUGGAUGGAUGUCUCAUACCCCAUAUGAUAACCCUCAGACUUAGGCGAAUUUGUGCGAUGAGAGCUCGGUUAUGAUGUCUUGUUUUUUUUACGUGGUUUGUAAAAUUUGGACUUUUUUUGGCCAUUUUGGGACUGUUUAAAUUUUUAGACUGUUUAAAUUUCUGGACUUUACAUUUUGAUUUUUAACUGUUUUAUCAUUUUUGGUGGGUUUACAA